AAACCUUCUUCAAGAUGAGUUUACUUUUAAGGGUCGUAGAAGACGACUACGUUGAUAGGCUAUAGGUGUAAAAUUGGUAACAAUAAAGCCGAGUAGUACUAAUUGCCCGUAAGCUUUUAUUUU
rnacentral:rRNA from 1 species